rnacentral:lncRNA from 1 species
CUAAUGAUUGUUUGUAUGCUUGUGUGUUGUUCUUCAGAGGAGCCAGAAUGCAAGGUGCUCGUCGAUCUGUGGAAUCGACUGGAGUUCCAUCUGAGAGGGAAGGUUUGGACACCUUUCCCCCUGCUCUGCCAAGAGCGCAGUCGUGGGGAGUUAGCAGAUGGGGAACAUUAAGGGACCCUGGAAGGUCUUUUGAUGCAAGCAGAGAAGCGAUGGCUCCAAGAAGGAUGUCAGCUAGUAUGAGGGAAGUAGAGUCGGAUGUUCAGAGAAGGGAUGUCAGUUUGGGAAUC